rnacentral:lncRNA from 1 species
GGCGGGGUGUGAGACAGGUGGAGAAGUGAUGGUAAAUUUCCACUCGAACUGUUGGGGAGCUAGUUACUGGUAGAGCGGCCCCAAGGCCGGGCUUCGGUGGCUGCAGUAGACUGGAUCUGGAUCUCUAAAUGGCAAUCUAUUGACAUGGCUGCCAGCGUAAUGGAACCCCUGAUUGAUACACGGACCCAUGACUGUCCACAAGAAAGACUACAUUUCCC